AAGUAAAGCACCAAAGCCAGACUGGCACUCCGGACUUGGCAUCUACAGUUUCUCCCCAGGGGUCUCUGGCUGGUUGGUGGCUUUCUGCGUCUUGUUGGUUCUUUGUUUAGUGGUGACUUCCCUGCUGGUCAUUCAAUGGAGAAGAAUGAGAGAAACAAACACCAGAUAUGAUUCAAUAGGUGAGUACAGUUUGAUUUCA